CGGCAAACUGGACCUCGAGAUC
rnacentral:miRNA from 1 species